rnacentral:rRNA from 1 species
GAGUUUGAUCAUGGCUCAGAUUGAACGCUGGCGGCAUGCUUUACACAUGCAAGUCGAACGGCAGCGGGGGCUUCGGCCCGCCGGCGAGUGGCGAACGGGUGAGUAAUGCAUCGGAACGUACCCAGUCGUGGGGGAUAACGUAUCGAAAGGUACGCUAAUACCGCAUACGUCCUGAGGGAGAAAGCGGGGGACCUACGGGCCUCGCGCGAUUGGAGCGGCCGAUGUCGGAUUAGCUAGUUGGUGGGGUAAAGGCCUACCAAGGCGACGAUCCGUAGCUGGUCUGAGAGGAUGAUCAGCCACACUGGGACUGAGACACGGCCCAGACUCCUACGGGAGGCAGCAGUGGGGAAUUUUGGACAAUGGGCGCAAGCCUGAUCCAGCCAUGCCGCGUGAGUGAAGAAGGCCUUCGGGUUGUAAAGCUCUUUCGCGAGGGAAGAAAAGGUGCGCUCUAACAUAGCGUACUGAUGACGGUACCUUGAGAAGAAGCACCGGCUAACUACGUGCCAGCAGCCGCGGUAAUA